CCUACGGGUGGCUGCAGUGGGGAAUAUUGGACAAUGGGCGAAAGCCUGAUCCAGCCAUGCCGCGUGUGUGAAGAAGGCCUUCGGGUUGUAAAGCACUUUCAGUGGGGAAGAAAGCCUUGGGGCUAAUACCCUCGAGGAAGGACAUCACCCACAGAAGAAGCACCGGCUAACUCCGUGCCAGCAGCCGCGGUAAUACGGAGGGUGCGAGCGUUAAUCGGAAUUACUGAGCGUAAAGCGCGCGUAGGCGGUCUGAUAAGCCGGUUGUGAAAGCCCCGGGCUCAACCUGGGAACUGCAUCCGGAACUGUCAGGCUAGAGUGCAGGAGAGGAAGGUAGAAUUCCCUGUGUAGCGGUGAAAUGCGUAGAGAUCGGGAGGAAUACCAGUGGCGAAGGCGGCCUUCUGGACUGACACUGACGCUGAGGUGCGAAAGCGUGGGUAGCAAACAGGAUUAGAUACCCGAGUAGUC
rnacentral:rRNA from 1 species